GACGUAGGGCGGGAGCGUUGUCCGGAUUUAUUGGGCGUAAAGAGCUCGUAGGCGGCUUGUCGCGUCGAAUGUGAAAUCUCGGGGCUCAACUCCGAGCUUGCAUUCGAUACGGGCAGGCUAGAGUUCGGUAGGGGAGACUGGAAUUCCUGGUGUAGCGGUGAAAUGCGCAGAUAUCAGGAAGAACACCCGUGGCGAAGGCGGCUCUCUGGUACGUGACUGACGCUGAGACGCGAAAGCGUGGGGAGCGAACAGG
rnacentral:rRNA from 1 species